rnacentral:lncRNA from 1 species
ACAAUGUAACUCAAACUGAUUAACAAUGAAACUUUAACUAAUACAAUGUAGUAUGGUAAUUAUCAGUGAAUAUAAAUUUCAAAAGUUACUUUAUCCUGAUACUUCUGAGUACAUAUUUGAAAACAUGAAACAACGGUUGUCUAUAUCAAUUUUUCAACAACAAAUAAAUUAAGUAAGUUCACUUCUAUUGUUUUAGAACUUUUGUUAGAUAUCCUGAAUCCUCUGGUUUUAUCCCUUAAACCUUUUGUUCACUUACCACUACUGUUCUUACCAUAAAUUGAUUACAUUUAGUUCAAAAUAUCCACUUUGAAAAUCUUAUAAAAUCCUUGUAAUUUUUUCAUUGUUUUUGAAAGAAAAAAUGUACCAAUAUAAAAUAAUGUAAAUACUGAACCAUGCCGAUUGCUUCAAAAUCAAAGUAACAAACAUUAUAUUAAUAUUUUAUUUGGAAAAUGAAGGGAAAAAAACCCAGAUAAAACUAUUCAAAGUUAUAUAGAAUUUUUCAAUGUACUUUUAAACAAGCUCAAAUUUAAGUUUGCAAAAAAAUAAACUAAACUCUGAAGAAAAAAUAA